rnacentral:rRNA from 1 species
GACGAACGCUGGCGGCGUGCUUAACACAUGCAAGUCGAACGGAAAGGCGCUGCUCUUGUGGGGUGCUCGAGUGGCGAACGGGUGAGUAACACGUGAGUAACCUGCCCUUGACUUUGGGAUAACUUCAGGAAACUGGGGCUAAUACCGGAUAGGAGCUCCUGCUGCACGGUGGGGGUUGGAAAGUUUCGGCGGCUGGGGAUGGACUGGCGGCUUAUCAGCUUGCUGGUGAGGUAGUGGUUUACCAAGGCUUUGACGGAUAGCCGGCAUGGGAGGUUGACCAGGCACCUUGGGACUGAGAUACGGAGCAGUAUCCUAUGUGAGGCAGCAGUCGAGAACAUUGCAGAGUGGGCGGGAGCGUGAGAUGGAAAUGCUGGGAGCGUGAUGACGGGUUACGAGUUGUGAACCGAUGUCGCAUGUGACGAAGCGUGCGUGACGGUAAUGGGUAAGGAAGCCCCGGCUAACUACGUG